CGAGUGGCGAACGGGUGAGUAACACGUGAGUAACCUGCCCUUGACUUUGGGAUAACUUCAGGAAACUGGGGCUAAUACCGGAUAGGAGCUCCUGCUGCAUGGUGGGGGUUGGAAAGUUUCGGCGGUUGGGGAUGGACUCGCGGCUUAUCAGCUUGUUGGUGGGGUAGUGGCUUACCAAGGCUUUGACGGGUAGCCGGCCUGAGAGGGUGACCGGCCACAUUGGGACUGAGAUACGGCCCAGACUCCUACGGGAGGCAGCAGUGGGGAAUAUUGCACAAUGGGCGGAAGCCUGAUGCAGCAACGCCGCGUGCGGGAUGACGGCCUUCGGGUUGUAAACCGCUUUCGCCUGUGACGAAGCGUGAGUGACGGUAAUGGGUAAAGAAGCACCGGCUAACUACGUGCCAGCAGCCGCGGUGAUACGUAGGGUGCGAGCGUUGUCCGGAUUUAUUGGGCGUAAAGGGCUCGUAGGUGGUUGAUCGCGUCGGAAGUGUAAUCUUGGGGCUUAACCCUGAGCGUGCUUUCGAUACGGGUUGACUUGAGGAAAGGUAGGGGAGAAUGGAAUUCCUGGUGGAGCGGUGGAAUGCGCAGAUAUCAGGAGGAACACCAGUGGCGAAGGCGGUUCUCUGGGCCUUUUCCUGACGCUGAGGAGCGAAAGCGUGGGGAGCGAACAGGCUUAGAUACCCUGGUAGUCCACGCUGUAAACGGUGGGUACUAGGUGUGGGGUCCAUUCCACGGGUUCCGUGCCGUAGCUAACGCUUUAAGUACCCCGCCUGGGGAGUACGGCCGCAAGGCUAAAACUCAAAGGAAUUGACGGGGCCCCGCACAAGCGGCGGAGCAUGCGGAUUAAUUCGAUGCAACGCGUAGAACCUUACCUGGGUUUGACAUGGAUCGGGAGCGCUCAGAGAUGGGUGUGCCUCUUUUGGGGUCGGUUCACAGGUGGUGCAUGGCGGUCGUCAGCUCGUGUCGUGAGAUGUUGGGUUAAGUCCCGCAACGAGCGCAACCCUUGUUCACUGUUGCCAGCACGUUAUGGUGGGGACUCAGUGGAGACCCCCGGGGUCAACUCGGAGGAAGGUGGGGAUGACGUCAAGUCAUCAUGCCCCUUAUGUCCAGGGCUUCACGCAUGCUACAAUGGCUGGUACAGAGAGUGGCGAGCCUGUGAGGGUGAGCGAAUCUCGGAAAGCCGGUCUCAGUUCGGAUUGGGGUCUGCAACUCGACCU
rnacentral:rRNA from 1 species